GACAGAGGAUGCAAGCGUUAUCCGGAAUGAUUGGGCGUAAAGCGUCUGUAGGUGGCUUUUCAAGUCCGCCGUCAAGUCCCAGGGCUCAACCCUGGACAGGCGGUGGAAACUGGCAAGCUGGAGUACGGUAGGGGCAGAGGGAAUUUCCGGUGGAGCGGUGAAAUGCGUAGAGAUCGGAAGGAAUACCAGAGGCGAAGGCGGCGGACUGGACAGUCACUGACACUCAACUACGAAAGCGUGGGUAGCAAACAGG
rnacentral:rRNA from 1 species